AACGAACGCUGGCGGCAGGCCUAACACAUGCAAGUCGAACGCGUCCUUCGGGACGAGUGGCAGACGGGUGAGUAACGCGUGGGAACGUACCCUUUGGUUCGGAACAACAGCGGGAAACUGCUGCUAAUACCGGAUAAGCCCUUCGGGGAAAGAUUUAUCGCCAGAGGAUCGGCCCGCGUUAGAUUAGCUUGUUGGUGAGGUAAUGGCUCACCAAGGCUACGAUCUAUAGCUGGUCUGAGAGGAUGAUCAGCCACACUGGGACUGAGACACGGCCCAGACUCUUACGGGAGGCAGCAGUGGGAAUCUUGGACAAUGGGCGAAAGCCUGAUCCAGCCAUGCCGCGUGAAUGAUGAAGGCCCUAGGGUUGUAAAAUUCUUUCGACGGGGAAGAUAAUGACGGUGCCCGUAGAAGAAGCUCCGGCUAACUUCGUGCCAGCAGCCGCCGUAA
rnacentral:rRNA from 1 species